GACCAAAUAGCUUAGUUGGUAAAGCACCCUAUAUACUAAUGGGGCCCCAGGUUCGAACCCUGGUCUGGUUA